ACUGCUCAGUAACACGUGGACAACCUACCCUCAGCACGGGGAUAGACCCGGGAAACUGGGUAUAAUACCCGAUAGUUCUAGGCUGCUGGAAUGCUUCCAGGACGAAAGCUCCGGCGACUGAGGAUGGGUCUGCGGCCUAUCAGGUAGUAGUGGGUGUAAUGUACCUACUAGCCUACGACGGGUACGGGUCGUGAGAGCGAGAGCCCGGAGAUGGAUUCUGAGACACGAAUCCAGGCCCUACGGGGUGCAGCAGGCGCGAAAACUUUACAAUGCUGGCAACAGCGAUAAGGGGACCUCGAGUGCCAGGAUACAAUCUUGGCUGUCGUGAUGCCUAAAAAGCAUUACAUAGCAAGGGCCGGGCAAGACCGGUGCCAGCCGCCGCGGUAACACCGGCGGCUCGAGUGGUAACCGCUAUUAUUGGGUCUAAAGGGUCUGUAGCCGGCCGGAUAAGUCUUUUGGGAAAUCCAGCUGCUCAACAGUUGGGCUUUCAGAAGAUACUGUUCGGCUCGAGGCCGGGAGAGGUGAGAGGUACUUCAGGGGUAGGGGUGAAAUCUUGUAAUCCUUGAGGGACCGCCAGUGGCGAAGGCGUCUUGCUAGAACGGGUCCGACGGUGAGGGACGAAAGCUAGGGGCACGAACCGGAUUAGAUACCCGGGUAGUCCUAGCCGUAAACGAUGCGAGCUAGGUGUCACGUGGAUUGCGAAUCCACGUGGUGCCGUAGGGAAACCGUGAAGCUCGCCGCCUGGGAAGUACGGCCGCAAGGCUGAAACUUAAAGGAAUUGGCGGGGGAGCAC
rnacentral:rRNA from 1 species